UACAGAGGGUGCAAGCGUUAAUCGGAAUUACUGGGCGUAAAGCGUGCGUAGACGGUUACAUAAGUCGGGUGUGAAAGCCCCGGGCUCAACCUGGGAAUUGCAUUCGAGACUGCGUAGCUAGGGUGCGGAAGAGGGAAGCGGAAUUUCCGGUGUAGCGGUGGAAUGCGUAGAUAUCUGGAGGAACACCGGUGGCGAAGGCGGCUCACUGGCCCGUAACUGACGCUGAGGCACGAAAGCGUGGGGAGCAAACAGG
rnacentral:rRNA from 1 species